AUUGAACGCUGGCGGCAUGCCUUACACAUGCAAGUCGAACGGUAACAGGUCUUCGGAUGCUGACGAGUGGCGAACGGGUGAGUAAUACAUCGGAACGUGCCUAGUAGUGGGGGAUAACUACUCGAAAGAGUGGCUAAUACCGCAUGAGAUCUACGGAUGAAAGCAGGGGAUCGCAAGACCUUGUGCUACUAGAGCGGCCGAUGGCAGAUUAGGUAGUUGGUGGGAUAAAAGAUUACCAAGCCGACGAUCUGUAGCUGGUCUGAGAGGACGAUCAGCCACACUGGGACUGAGAAACGGCCCAGACUCCUACGGGAGGCAGCAGUGGGGAAUUUUGGACAAUGGGCGCAAGCCUGAUCCAGCAAUGCCGCGUGCAGGAUGAAGGCCUUCGGGUUGUAAACUGCUUUUGUACGGAACGAAAAGCCCCGGGUUAAUACCCUGGGGUCAUGACGGUACCGUAAGAAUAAGCAUCGGCUAGCUACGUGCCAGCCGCCGCGGUAA
rnacentral:rRNA from 1 species